CAAAGCCUGAAACACAGUCGCUGGUAUCGCAAGAUGCUGGAGGAAAGUCCGGGCAACACAGAGCGUAGUGCUGGCUAACGGCCAGGCAGAGUGAUCUGACGGAAAGUGCAACAGAAAAUAUACCGCCGAUGGCAAUUCGCACAGGUAAGGUUGAAAUGGCAGGGUAAGAGCCUACCGCAGGGCUGGUAACAGCACUGGCAAUGAAAACCCCACUCGUUGCAAGUCCAAAUAUAAUCGCAUUCAGGUGGCUCGCCUGGCGGUUGGGUAGGACGCAAGAAGUUGUUGGUAACAACAACUCCAGAUAAAUGGCUGUGACCAUGUCAAAUGGUACAGAACCCGGCUUAUUGAAGACUUUGGCAU
rnacentral:RNase_P_RNA from 1 species